UCCCGGUUCGUCUAAUGGUAGGACGCCGCCCUUACACGCCGGAAACCUACGUUCGAUUCGUAGACCGGGAACCA
rnacentral:tRNA from 1 species